rnacentral:rRNA from 1 species
GUCGAACGGUAACAGAAAGCAGCUUGCUGCUUUGCUGACGAGUGGCGGACGGGUGAGUAAUGUCUGGGAAACUGCCUGAUGGAGGGGGAUAACUACUGGAAACGGUAGCUAAUACCGCAUAACGUCGCAAGACCAAAGAGGGGGACCUUCGGGCCUCUUGCCAUCGGAUGUGCCCAGAUGGGAUUAGCUAGUAGGUGGGGUAAAGGCUCACCUAGGCGACGAUCCCUAGCUGGUCUGAGAGGAUGACCAGCCACACUGGAACUGAGACACGGUCCAGACUCCUACGGGAGGCAGCAGUGGGGAAUAUUGCACAAUGGGCGCAAGCCUGAUGCAGCCAUGCCGCGUGUAUGAAGAAGGCCUUCGGGUUGUAAAGUACUUUCAGCGGGGAGGAAGGGAGUAAAGUUAAUACCUUUGCUCAUUGACGUUACCCGCAGAAGAAGCACCGGCUAACUCCGUGCCAGCAGCCGCGGUAAUACGGAGGGUGCAAGCGUUAAUCGGAAUUACUGGGCGUAAAGCGCACGCAGGCGGUUUGUUAAGUCAGAUGUGAAAUCCCCGGGCUCAACCUGGGAACUGCAUCUGAUACUGGCAAGCUUGAGUCUCGUAGAGGGGGGUAGAAUUCCAGGUGUAGCGGUGAAAUGCGUAGAGAUCUGGAGGAAUACCGGUGGCGAA